GAUGAACGCUGGCGGCGUGCCUAAUACAUGCAAGUCGAGCGAACGGACGAGAAGCUUGCUUCUCUGAUGUUAGCGGCGGACGGGUGAGUAACACGUGGAUAACCUACCUAUAAGACUGGGAUAAUUUCGGGAAACCGGAGCUAAUACCGGAUGAUAUUUUGAACCGCAUGGUUCAAAAGUGAAAGACGGUCUUGCUGUCACUUAUAGAUGGAUCCGCGCUGCAUUAGCUAGUUGGUAAGGUAACGGCUUACCAAGGCAACGAUGCAUAGCCGACCUGAGAGGGUGAUCGGCCACACUGGAACUGAGACACGGUCCAGACUCCUACGGGAGGCAGCAGUAGGGAAUCUUCCGCAAUGGGCGAAAGCCUGACGGAGCAACGCCGCGUGAGUGAUGAAGGUCUUCGGAUCGUAAAGCUCUGUUAUUAGGGAAGAACAUAUGUGUAAGUAACUGUGCACAUCUUGACGGUACCUAAUCAGAAAGCCACGGCUAACUACGUG
rnacentral:rRNA from 1 species